AACGAACGCUGGCGGCAUGCCUUACACAUGCAAGUCGAACGGUAACGCGGGGCAACCUGGCGACGAGUGGCGAACGGGUGAGUAAUGUAUCGGAACGUGCCCAGUUGUGGGGGAUAACUGCUCGAAAGAGCAGCUAACACCGCAUACGACCUGAGGGUGAAAGCGGGGGAUCGCAAGACCUCGCGCAAUUGGAGCGGCCGAUAUCAGAUUAGGUAGUUGGUGGGGUAAAGGCUCACCAAGCCAACGAUCUGUAGCUGGUCUGAGAGGACGACCAGCCACACUGGGACUGAGACACGGCCCAGACUCCUACGGGAGGCAGCAGUGGGGAAUUUUGGACAAUGGACGCAAGUCUGAUCCAGCCAUGCCGCGUGCGGGAAGAAGGCCUUCGGGUUGUAAACCGCUUUUGUCAGGGAAGAAACGCUCUGGGUUAAUACCUCGGGGUAAUGACGGUACCUGAAGAAUAAGCACCGGCUAACUACGUGCCAGCAGCCGCAGUAACAC
rnacentral:rRNA from 1 species